rnacentral:tRNA from 1 species
UGUAGCUCAGUGGAAGAGGACUUGUCUAGCAUACCAAAGGCCCUGGGUUCAAUCCCCAGUAUAG